rnacentral:lncRNA from 1 species
GUUAAGGGCUCGAUCGAAACGGUCAACUCUAAUCGGAAAUAAGAAAAUUGCAUUUUGAAGCCCUAAACGGACUCAGAUGGCCAAAAAGGCCCAUAUGUCAUACAAUAGCGAUGAGUUUGACUUGUAGGGCCGUUACGCUUCCGAAAAGGUAUCACAAUAGUCAAUCGGACACCAAACGCCAAAUCUGCAGCAUAGUGAAUAAUAAGGGUAAAUUGCAUUGACCGCAACUAUUGGCACUGAGACAUUACUGGAAUACAGUGAUUUUUUAACCGUAGACGUAUUUCACCAUUCUGGUCAUAUCUUACUUAACGACUUUUUUGCGUUUGAAGGUUCUACGUAUAGUUUUUUUUUCCCAGAUGAGUUGUUGUCUAGAUCUGCAAAUAUAAGGCACUUUAGCCGACGAAAUUAUAUUUUUCGUCGGCUAAACUUUUAAAAAUUUCAUCGGCUAAAGUUCACAGACUAUAGCCGACGAAAAAAAUUAUUCAGACGACGAAAUUUCGUCGUCUAAAGUUGACCAAAACCGACAAAAAUUUAAAUUAGCCAACGAAGGAAAAUUUCGUCGGGUAAAGUCCACGUUAGGCGACGAAAAAAUAAUUCGUCGGCCUGGUUUUUUUAUUUUCGUCGGCUAAAGUCUUUCUUCUAGUAGUGUAGCUCAGCUACCGUUCAACCAAAACGACUCUGAAGAAAUGAUUAUUUAUAGAGUUCUUGCUCAGGCCGGAGCCGGGGACUCCUCCGACGCCACCAGUACCCCUCGUCAUAUGAAAGAUGAUGACAAGUGAACUCUGACACGGCCAUGGAAGAGGGAGUGAGCAUGAAGGACGAGAUAGCACAUAAAGGAGUCUAGCGGCAGCCAUGGGGGAAGUACGCGGCAGAGAUAAGGGGGAUUCAACACAAAAGGGGUGCGAGUUUGGUUGGGAACCUUGAUACGGCGGAGGCAGCCCUAGCUUAAGACCAAGCUGCAUUUGCAAUGGAGUUAACGAUAUAGUUAACAAAAAGUUAACUGGGGUUAGACUAAAAAUAAAAAAUUUAAGUAAUAGUGUUGGGUGAAUUCUUAAGACCCUUGGAUUAGAUAAAAAACCUAGAUUUUAUGAACUUAGACUAACUUCACACACUCCUCACUUUAGAGGAGCCGAAUCCU